rnacentral:rRNA from 1 species
AACAUUGGUCAAUGGAGGCAACUCUGAACCAGCCAUGCCGCGUGCAGGAUGACGGUCCUAUGGAUUGUAAACUGCUUUUGUACAGGAAGAAAAAGAGUUACGUGUAGCUUAUUGACGGUACUGUAAGAAUAAGUAUCGGCUAACUCCGUGCAAGCUGCCGCGGUAAAACGGAGGAUCCAAGCGUUAUCCGGAAUCAUUGGGUUUAGAGGGUCCGUAGGCGGACUUAUAAGUCAGCGGUGAAAGUUUUUGGCUUAACCAAAAAAUUGCCGUUGAUACUGUAGGGCUUGAAUUUUUGUGAAGUAACUAGAAUAUGUAGUGUAGCGGUGAAAUGCGUAGAUAUUAGGAGGAACACCAGUGGCGAAGGCGACUCUCUGGACUGCAACUGACGCUGAGGCACGAAAGCGUGGGGAGCGAACAG